AGGGGACUUCGGUCCCUGAGUACAGUGGCGCACGGGUGAGUAACACGUGAAUCAUCUACCUUCGAGUGGGGAAUAACUGAGAGAAAUCUUAGCUAAUACCGCAUAAUACCUACGGGUCAAAGCAGCAAUGCGCUUGAAGAGGAGUUCGCGGCAGAUUAGUUAGUUGGCGGGGUAAUGGCCCACCAAGACGAUGAUCUGUAUCCGGCCUGAGAGGGCGCACGGACACACUGGAACUGAAACACGGUCCAGACUCCUACGGGAGGCAGCAGUGGGGAAUUUUGCGCAAUGGGGGAAACCCUGACGCAGCAACGCCGCGUGGAGGAUGAAAUCCCUUGGGAUGUAAACUCCUUUCGAUCGGGAAGAUAAUGACGGUACCGGGAGAAGAAGCCCCGGCUAACUUCGUGCCAGCAGCCGCGGUAAUACGAGGGGGGCAAGCGUUGUUCGGAAUUAUUGGGCGUAAAGGGUGCGUAGGCGGUUUGAUAAGUCACAUGUGAAAUCUUCGGGCUCAACCCGAAGUCUGCAUGCGAAACUGUCGGGCUUGAGUAUGGGAGAGGUGAGUGGAAUUUCCGGUGUAGCGGUGAAAUGCGUAGAUAUCGGAAGGAACACCUGUGGCGAAAGCGGCUCACUGGACCAUAACUGACGCUGAUGCACGAAAGCUAGGGGAAGCAACAGGAUUAGAUA
rnacentral:rRNA from 1 species